rnacentral:lncRNA from 1 species
CAAAGGACUAAGGGUCAUGAGGACAGUGACAGUGCUAUAGAAAAGGCCAGACCUCACAAACGUGUUUAAAAAAAUGCCAGUAAAAAUGAAUUCCCUGAUCAUUAUUCAGUUCUGAGAGCAUAGCCCCCAUGUAGAUAAAAGCUUUUCUAACAGAAUUUUUGCAAGCCUUAAAGCAAUAGCUGUCAAGGGGAUGCUUUAAUCCAAUGAGAAAACAUGCAAAUCAUAAUAAGAAUAAAUUUAUAGCCUUGGGAAGGAGGCAAUGUGAAUAAAACCCAUUUGCCAUAUCUUAAAAGGCCCUUUAGGCCUAUCAAAAUGUCCAAGGGGCAGUUUGCAUGGUUUUCCCUGGUUGGUUUUUUUUUUUCGGUUUUGGUUUUUGGGUUUUUUUGGUUUGUUUGUUUGUUUUUGUUUUUGUUUUUCUCCGAUUAGACCCCUAGCCUGGGAACCUCCAUAUGCUUCAGAUGCGGCCCUAAAAAGCAAAAUAAAUAAAAUAAAUAAAGGUGAUUGUUUAUUGCUUAGGAGAGGUUUACCAGGGUUGAUUUGAGUUCCACUUGGGGGAGCUGAAUGAAUGUUGCAUGUAGUCUGCCCAGAAUUUCUCAGGGACUUCGUUGAGGAGUUUUAAGUGUAUGUUAUCUUGUAAGUUUACCCUAAGGGCAAAAACUGCUAAUAGGGUUGAGGAGUUUGGAAUCCCAUGAGUUGUUGAGGGGGUUGAAUCUCCCACUUUUGAGAAAAAGAGAAGACAACAUGAUAUUUCUCUUAAAAGUCUCAUUCUAGGAAGUCGGCAGGAGCAGGACUGACCAGUAGGAAGGAAUGAUUGACCUGGAGGGGGCCCAGCUGGAAAGAAAAGGGAAGAGACUUAUAAAUCGUAGGUUUGCUAGAUACUCUCAACAUUUGAGUAUCUCUGUGCUCUGAGGACGGAUUUGUUUGAGGUUGGAGGGAUUGAGCAAAGUGUGGCUCUCGUGUCAGUUAAGACAGUAAGGAGCUCAUUUCCAAUGAUAAGGGAAUUUUUACCCUGAUGAUUAAGGGGAAGGACUGGAAAAAACCCUUGUUUGUCCCGAGCAGGCUCAGUCCCUGAGAGGAGCUGAAGGCUGAACGUGGGAGCAUUGUUUAACAUCUUUCAGUUUAAGGCAAGUCUUUUUCCAAUGACCGGGCUUCUUACACAAAUGACAGACAUUUUUAGAGUUUGAAGGCUUUGAUUUAGUUUGUUGAAGCCUCUGGGAGGAGUCUGAUAGCUGUCGAAACAGUAAAUUUAUUAUUUUAGUGGCCUUUCGCUUAUUUGAAUUUUGAAUGGUCCAGGCCAGUUGGUUUGCUAGAUUAACCAAAUCAGGAGCUGCCAUGGCUUCCCAUUUGAACUGGGCUCGCUUUACUAGAAUUGUGAGGUUUUCUUCUCAGCCACUUGUGAACAUGGAAUUAAAGACUCCCUUAGUGGACUCUGCUUCUAUGGAGAGUCCAGGAUUUUCCUUUAGAACCAUUCCAAGUCUGUUGUAACGGUCACGCACAAGUUCAUCAGUCCUUGAGUGUGUGCCUGGAUUUGUCCCAGUCAAUGAAUGGGUUUGGGGAAGGUCUGAGCAAUGGCUGGCUUCAUAUACAGUUUUUGCUAUGUCUUGGGCUUUAGAGCUGUCUGUUGUUAGGACGGCAGAGUGGAGAGAAACAGAGUCUGGUGCAGUGAGAUCACAAGCAGGUUUAAAGACCAACAGAGUAGCCAUGUACACUGAGCAGAGAGAACUCAGGCUCCCUGCUCUAGGGGCAAGGGCUUUUUUAUGGUUAGGGUUUCGUGUGAUAGGUCAUGUCUUCUCAAGGAGAAAGGGGAAGAGGGCUUGGGAAACAGGGAAAGAGGAUUUAGGUUAUUAAGUGUCAAUUUUAACAGUCCUUUUGGCUUUAUUUUGAGGCUUAACAGCGCCUUAAAUUAUCUUGGUCCUAGAGCCUUCAUCCAUGUUGGAGUCUGUUUCCUACUCGUUUGGUCAGUUGAAAUCGUGUCUGGAGCUUGGAUGGAAUCUUGAUGAUAUGGCUGAUUUCAUGUCUUCUGUUUUGAACUUGCUCUCCAUGUAAGAGACACCACAUAACAUCUGUCACCUGGCAUGGUCCAUUGAAGAACCUCUAAAGGAUGAUUCCAGCCAGCUUUAGCCUUCCAGAGUUGUGCCUGACCUUCUCCCAAGAGCUUGUGGACUAAUUGAUAAAAGAUCAGGAAACCCAGACUCAUAGAUUUUAAUGACAGUGUUAAAUUCCUCUGCAAAACAGUGACGUCCUCAGUAACCUUGGGAAAUUUUUUUUGGCUACAGCUGGCAAUUCUGCCUUAGUCCAAAAAUGUGUAAAUUACAUUCAUUUUUGGGUUUCUAUUUAAACGGAUGAGUUUGAACUGGUCAAAUGGAAGAGGUUGGGGGUGGAGGAUCAAGGAGGGGUCUCAGGUCUUGGGGAUAAAAAGGGAGUUUAGCAAGUUAAGGGGGAAAGAAAAAAGGAGACAUCCUGGAGUGGAAGACAGACUUGAAAAGAAGGAGGGAGUGAUAGAGAAAAGUUUUGAACCUUUUGUAACUGAGAAAUCUUUUCAGGAAGUUUAGAAUUUGUGUCUUUGAGGGAAAUGAUUCUGGGGAUCAGAAAUUGCAAUCCAGGGAGUUCCCCUUAUGGUGCAGCAGAAACAAAUCCGACUAGGAACCAUGAGGUUGUGGGUUUGAUCCCUGGCCUUGCUCAGUGGGUUAAGGAUCCGGAGUUGCCAUGAGCUGGCAGCAACAGCUCCGGUUAGACCCCUAGCCUGAGAACCUCCAUAUGCCAUGGGAAGUGGCCCUAGAAAAGGAAAAGAGAC